CCUACGGGAGGCUGCAGUAGGGAAUCUUCCACAAUGGGCGAAAGCCUGAUGGAGCAACGCCGCGUGGGUGAAGAAGGUCUUCGGAUCGUAAAACCCUGUUGUUAGAGAAGAAAGUGCGUGAGAGUAACUGUUCACGUUUCGACGGUAUCUACCCAGAAAGCAACGGCUAACUACGUGACAGAAGCCGCGGUAAUACGUAGGUGGCAAGCGUUAUCCGGAUUUAUUGGGCGUAAAGGGAACGCAGGCGGUCUUUUAAGUCGGAUGUGAAAGCCUUCGGCUUAACCGGAGUAGUGCAUUGGAAACUGGGAGACUGGAGUGCAGAAGAGGAGAGUGGAACUCCAUGUGUAGCGGUGAAAUGCGUAGAUAUAUGGAAGAACACCAGUGGCGAAAGCGGCUCUCUGGUCUGUAACUGACGCUGAGGUUCGAAAGCGUGGGUAGCAAACAGGAUUAGAUACCCGAGUAGUC
rnacentral:rRNA from 1 species